rnacentral:lncRNA from 1 species
UUUGGUAAGUUUAUCUUGGCUUGAAUUCUUCCUUCUCAUCUUUGUCUCUUUUCACACUUCAUGUUUAGUAGUUUUUGAAGUUGCUUCCAUGCUAUGAUAUGCUCUGAAAUUCUGAAGAAAUUAUUUUAUUCAUAACUCAAGACUCCUUCCCUGUGGUAACAUGGAAAACAGUACAGAUUUAGAUAUCAACCCAACAGAUCAGCCCAUGUGGUUUUCUUUGCUCCCUCCAGAAUUGUUUUUUGUUCCUGUUGUUGUUUUAUGUUUCGUUUUGUUGGUGGGGUGAGAGAGCUUCAUCUUUAUGUAAGUGUCUUCAGAUAGGCAGUUCAUGUUAUUGUUUUUCAAGUGAAAUCUCCUAUGAAAUUUCAUUUCAUAGUCAGGAGAGCUCAACCACCUCCCAUCUCUGAGAGAAAGUCAGCCUCCUGGCUUGCCCUCCCAUCAUACCCUUUUAUCUGGCUGUAGAGUUAAGUCAAUGGUACUACUUUUUUUUUUUAAGUGUUUGGUAAAAUACUUUAUUAAACACUUCAAAUCUUUUGUACAGUUUAAACUUAGCAGAUCACAGAUGAAUUUUCAAGACAGUUACAUGUGUUGAAACCACCUUGGAAUGCUUUAUGAAGAAUAUUCUCAGUUUAAAAGGUAGGAUAUAGUUUUAUUUCAAGAUAUUUGCUUAUCAGAGAGGUAGAAAGCUAGGAUGUUAGUGUCAGGAAGAAGAAAGAAUAGAAUAUAGAGUUUAGAAGACAGAAAGAACAUAGUGACACUGUAGGCAGAGAAAAAUGAUGCAGCAAAUAUAAUAUGUCAUUUCUUGAGCAUUUACCAUGUGCUGGAAUUUUAAGUUAAAUUAUUAAGGUAAAUUAUUAAUCCAAUGUUCAUCUUAUUGAUUAGGUGUUAUUACUAUUAUUGCUGCUAUUAUUUGGCAAAUUCAAGAAAUUAUAAACUUGAUAAAUUUGAGAAAAUAAGAUAUCAAGUCAAUUUUUCAGGAUCAUACAGCUAAUAAUCUAACACAAUUAAAGGCUUUCUGAAUCCAGAGUUUGUUGAAUCUUAAAAUUUUUAUCCUGUGUGAAAGGACAGUGAUGAAUGGAAUAUCAUUAGCUGAUAGAGACAUUCGUUUUUGUUACUUGUAUGCAUAUCACAUACAUAAUGAGCAGAUUGAUCAAAUAUUGAGACCAACUAGAGUAAUAAGAGUGUGCAACCAAUGUUGAAGCAAAUUUAGUAGAGAAGUCUAGCAUUGAAAAGCUAGAGAAUUGGAUUUCAUUAUUUUCCUAUUUUGAUCCUCUAUUAUAACUUCCUAAAAAUAUUUAAGGAAGGAGCAAAGCGAAAAUAGCAAAUAAACUGAUAUAAUGGAAAAUAGUCAGGGAUAAAAUGACAAACCAAAUUUCUUGUGCUUUGUUGGAGAAGGUAACAGGAAGGACAUUACUCCCAGUUGCACCAAGAACUGGACUCUGCAAUCAGAGGCACCUCAUCUUCUCUCUUGUGCUCAAAACGUACACUGUCCCCACUCUUCCCACAGUGGAAGGUGUUUUAAGGACUAAACUUGAGAGAGCAAUGUGUUGUUGAGACCAAAGAUGGUCUCAGUGAUUGAACUGACUUAAGACCUCUAUAUAAAUGUCUGUGUCAUGGCAGGUGGGUGCAGAGAUCUACACAUCUUGUGGCUCCCUAAGACAAGCCUCAUAAAUAAGUUCCUUUGCUUGUUCAACCUGCCACCUACCAAUUUGGAAUGGCUACCUCUUUCUUUGGUCUACCCUGGCCCUCGGUUUUGGAGGAGGGCAGUUAGUGAACCAACAUGCUUCCAUUAUCUUCCCUUGAGGACAUAUAUAAAAAUUUCAAAGUUUUUAUAGAAGAGUUAUACUAAUUUCCUGAGUAAUGAAAGAAUGUGAAGGACUACCUCUAGAUUGCUUUCUAUCUUACUCAAUCCACUGGUAUCAAAGAUGCCCUUGAAAUAGUGGAGCUGGCUUGAGUGUGGAGAAAGAAUGGAUAAUAGUACAAAACCACAGAAAGAUGAAAGGAGAUUGAUGCAAGCAAGGAGCUUGAAGAAUAGUACCUAGGACUCAGUGAAGCACAGUGGGAAACAAUAUAACAGAACUCCCUACUGAUGAGAAGUGAGACCUUCCAACAUCCCAUGCAGUCGUGCAGGUGUCUGAGACGGAGCAACUCAAUAUGAGCAAAAACCUCAUGCUGUGAGCGAGGAAAAGAAGUGUUGCUGAAAAAGAUAAUGUGAGCCAUGAUCAGAGCGAUUAUUAAGCUCCUGCUCAGUCUCUCUCUCUCUCUGUAUAUAUAUACAUAUAUAUAUACACACAUAUAUAUGAAUAUAUACUCAUUCAAAAUAUAUAUUCAAAAUAUAGUGUAUAGAAUGUAUAUAAAAUUUAUAUAUGUAUAUAUAUUCAAAAUGCAUAUAAAGAAUGAGAAUAGAAUGAAUAUCAUAUCAUAACAUACUAAAGAUUUCACAUAACAGUUAAGAACCUAAAAGUAAUACAUUUGUUAGGAACAGAAAAUAAUGAAAAUAGGAAAACAAGUAAUGGUCUAAGUUUUUUUUAAAUGUUAUUUUCACCUAUAUUUUGAUAUCCAUUCUGCAUUAUGACUCUUGCUGCUUUUUUCUUUAACAAAAAAUAAUGUGUUUAAAUGCAUAUAUCCAUUUAUGGUAAUUCAUUUCGUCAGGUGAAACGUUCACUCUUAACAUACAUCUAUGUCAAGAAUGAAAUCAUAGCUUACGUCACUUUUCCCUAAUUCAUUUUCUUUCUUUCUUCUUUUAAUGUAUUUAUUUAUUUGAGAGAUGAGAGAAAAAGAGCAAGGGGCAGGAGGGGCAAAGGGAGAGGAAGAGACUCUCAAACAAACUCUCCACUGAGCACAGAGUCUCCAUCUCAUGAUCCUGAGAUCACAAAGUGGACUGAAAUCAAGAGUUGGCCACUUAACUUACUGAACCACCCAGGCAUCCCUAAUUCUUUUUCUUUCUGACUGAAAUUCCCACCAUUGUUUUUAUCUCUCCAUCGGCCCUGUCAUUCUUAUCUUCUCAUCUGUAAAAACAUUUCUAUCUAUUUAUUUAAAUUUUGAUAAUAUAUUUAUGUGACAAAAUAUUCCCUGAACACUAAUUAGUACAAAAGAUGACUUGUUAAAAAAUAGGACAUGAUAACAAAUAUCAAUCCCAUGCCA